AGGGGGUACAGUGGAUGAUAGUUUUAUAUUCAGGGUAUACAGUGGGUGGCAGUAUUAUUUUCAGGGGGUACAGUAUUUAGCAGAAUAAUAAUGAUUAUUGUCUUCAUACAGAGGAUGAGGAUCUAUUGACAAAGUGAGGAGUUAAUGAUGUCCGGGCCUCAGACUCUGCAGAGAAGCUGGAGCUGGAAGAAGUCCUGACGCCUGAACCAGAUAAAGAAGUAAAGGAAAGACAACAGAGAAGACAUCACUCAGGAGCAUUUCUCUGAAUUGGACAAGAAAUCUGGCCACAAGCCAGGGAUCCUCUCAGCCAAUCGCUGCAAUGUUACCAUAAAUGUAGAUCUCAGACUGUAUGUGCUACAAGGCUCAUUAUUUUGAAUGAGAAUGUUUGUUACCAGAAGAUUUGAACUUCUUAUUGUCACUGUGUCAGUCAAGUGACAACUGGGGCAACA